CGUUCCCGGGCCUUGUACACACCGCCCGUCACACCACGAGAGUUUGUAACACCCGAAGUCGGUGGAGUAACCGUAAGGGGCUAGCCGCCUAAGGUGGGACAGAUGAUUGGGGUG
rnacentral:rRNA from 1 species